AUUUCUGGAUAAGAUUAUAUUUGAAUUGGUUGAUUGCUCCCCUAGUGUGGGUGGCUGUCUUCCAAUCCAAGGUCCUAAAUAGCACAAAAAGCAGAGGAAGGUAGAAUGUACCCCUUUUAUUCCUGUCUCAUACUGUUUGAGCUGAAGCAUCUCACCCUAUCUUUUCUGUCCUCAGUUUGGGAUUUACACAUCAGCUUUCCUGCUCCUCAGGUCUUUGGGAUCAGACUAAAUUAUACCACCAGCUUUCCUGGGCCACGAGCUUGCCGAAAACACUCUGUGGGACUUCUUAGCCUACGUAAUCACAUGAAUGGAACCCACUUCUCAUAAGUCCCUCCCUCCUUCUCUCUCUCUCUCUCCCUUUCUCUCUCUCUCUCCCUUUUAGAUAUGUUUAUACAGACAACUCUAAUACAUCUCUCUCAUUCUUUCAUCCUUUUCUCCCACUGCAGGAGGCAGGAAGCUUUUGUUGAGGAAGACUUGGGAAGACAUACCCUUGCCCCUCUUGUUCUCCCGCAUUAGUCGACAUUUGGAUUCACCAAACUUGAGCCCUGGAUUGAAGGCCUUCCAUUUUCAGCGCUCUCUAUAAUAAGGGAGAGACAGAGCAUGAAUGGGGGAGGGUCAGAGAGAGGGAGACACAGAAUAUGAAACAGGCUCCAGGCUCGGAGCUGUCAGCACAGAGCCCGACGCCGGGCUCGAACUCACGGACCGCGAGAUCAUGACCUGAGCCGACCCCAGACGUUCAACCGACUCAGCCACCCAGGCGCCCCAAGCGUAUCAUUCCUAAUAAAGUUUUCAGGGAUAUAUGUGUUUAUGAAACCAUGUGAACAGCAGUCAGAGAAUAUAAUAUCACCUCCAGGAUACACCCGUCAAUAUAACUGCAGAUGUUAAUAUUUCUCAACGUUCAGAUUUGUUCAGUAAAAUUAUCAUCACAUAUUAUUACAUCCUAUGGAUCAUUCCAAGUUCUCUUUCCCCAGUGAAACCUUGUGUUUCAAAGAGUGCCACGUUCCUCUUCUCUAAUCUUCAGUGGUAAUUAUACAUUUUCAGGAUACUUUGGGAUUCCAGACAGUGGACCCAAGCAUAGAAACAAGCAUAUAAGAUCCAGCAAUACAUGGAAAUUGGAACAAGCAAAUAGAUUAUACUGACAAGUGGCUGAGUCCUCUCACAACUGUAUAUCCUUGAGAAGUAGUUCUAGUACAGUAGGAAAAUUAGUGAAAGCAAUAGAGGAUUCUGGAAUUGAAAGAAUUGAUGUUAUGUGCUUGUACUAAGCAGGGAUCUAGUCUUCCGAUAUAUGAACAUGGAUUAUUGAAGUACCAUGCGAUGCUUUGCCCUAAAAAACCAGAGAAGAAUGGGCCCCAAGAACUGGUCAGAGUAAGCAGCAAGAAUAUGGAGGAACGUGGAGCUCUUUAACCUGAGUAAGCUCAUGCUUAGCUAUUAGCCCUUGGUUAACGGAGCAGGUGGGAGCAUAGCAUUGUAGUGUUCCCCCAACUUGCUACAUGGCUUUCAGAAAAUUAACUAACUAAUCAUGUCAUAAUAUGAGUUCUUCAUUUUUAGUAUUUUUUUUAAUUUUUGCAGCAGUGUUAAUUUUGUAGAAAAAUUGAGCAUGAAGUUCCUGUAUGACCCUUCUCACCUCCACAAAGUUCCCCUAUUCUUAAUAUCUCACAUUAGUGUGGUUAAUUUAUUAUAACUGAUGAACUGAUGUUUAUACAUUAUUCUUUUUUCUUUUAAUUAAUUUAUUUUUAUUAUCCUUAAAUUCCAGUAUAAUUAAUAUACAGUGUUAUAUUAAUUUCAGGUGUAUAAUAUAGUGAUUCAACAAUUCUGUACAUUAGUCAGUGGUCAUCAUGGAAAGUGUACUCUUAAUACCCUUCACGUAUUUCUAUACAUUAUUUUUUUAAAUUUUUUAAUGUUUGUUUUACUUUUGAGAGAGAGAGAGAGAGACCAUGGGAGAGGGGCAGAGAGAGAGGAAGUCACAGAAUCCGAAGCAGGCUCCAGGCUCUGAGUUGUCAGCGCAGAGCCUGAUGUGAGGCUUGAACUCACGGACUGUGAGAUCAUGACCUCAGCCCAGAUGCUUAACCGACUGAGCCACCCAGGCGCCCCUCUAUGCAUCAUUUUUUAACUAAAAUCCAUUUCAUUAAGUUUCAUUCUUUGUGUUACACUGUGGGUGUCUAGAAAUGCAUAAUGUCAUGUAUCUACCAUUACAGUAUCAUAUAGAACAGUUUCCCUGCCCUAAAAAUCCCCAAGGUUUCAUCUCUUCAUCCUUCCUACUGUCCCUCCUGCCAAUAGCUUUUUACUGUCUUCACAGUUAGUCUUUUCUAGAAUGUCAUAUAAUUAGAAUCAUACCAUAUGCAACCCUUUCACACUAGCUGCUUUCCCAUAGCAAUUCACAUUUAAGGUCCUUCCAUGUUUUGUCAUGGCAUGAGAGCUCAUUUCUUUUUAUCACUGAAUAAUAUUCCAUUGUAUGAAUACAACCCAGUUUGUUUAUUCAUUUACCCAUCAAAGGGAAUUUUAGCUGCUUCCACUUUUUUGGCAACGGCGAAUAUAGCAGCUAUAAAUAUUAAUAGGCAUGUUUAUACAUAAUAUACAAACAUAUAAAAUAUAUAAACGUAUAUUUUUAAUUCAUUUGGCUAGAUACCUAGGAAUGAUGUGUGGGGUGAUAUGAUAAGACUAAAUUUAGAAUUGUAAGAAACUGCCAAAGUGCUUUCUAAAAUAUCUGUACCGUUUCAUAUUUCUGUCAGCAGUGAAUCAGAGUUCUCCUGCUCCACAUUCCUUGCUGGAAUUUGGUGUUGUCAGUAUUUUGGCUUCUAGCCAUUCCGAUAGGCAUGUAGUGAUAUUUUAGUUUAGUUUGUAAUAUCCUAAUGACAGAUGAUGCUGAACAUUUUUCCAUACGCUUAUUUUCCAUCCACAUAUAUUUGGUAAGGAAUAUGUUAAAUCUUUUUAAAAAUUUUUUUAACGUUUUAUUUUAUUUUUUGAGGGACAGAAACAAAGCGGGAGCAGGGGAGGGGCAGCGAGAGAGGGAGACACAGAAUCUGAAGCAGGCUCCAGGCUCCGAGCUGUCAGCGUAGGGUUUGAACCCAUGAACACCAGAUCAUAGACCUGAGCUGAAGUCGGACACUCAACGGACUGAGACACCUAGGCACCCCUGGAACAUGUUAAUAUCUUUUGCCCACUUUUUCAUGUUUGCUUUGUUUCCCUAAUGUUGACCUGUAAAUGUUUUUUGAUUAUUUUGGAUAAAAAUCUUUUAGAUGUGUGUCUUGGAAAUAUUUUCUCCCUGUCCGUGGGUUCUUUUAAUUCUCUUAGCAAUUUCUUUCACAGAGCGGUUCCCGAACUUGUACGAAAAGCAUGUAGUUUCUCUGCAUUAAGUAUGAUUUUAGAUGUAGUUUUUGUAUAGAUAUUCUUUAUCAAAUUGAAGAAGGUCCCGUCCAUUCCUACUUUACUGAGAGUUUUCAUCAUUAAUGGCUGUUAACGUCUGUCAAAUAUUUUUUCUCCAUCUAUUGAUAUGGUCAUAUGGGUUUUCUCUAGUCUGUUGAUAUGAUGAAUUACAUUAAUUGAUAUUCAAAUUUUGAACCAGAUUUGAAUAUCUGGAAAAAUCCAACUUGGCUGUGCUGUAUAAUUCUUUUUAUGUGUUGUUAGUUUCAAUUUGCUAAUAUUUUUUGAGCAAUUUUAAAGCUAUGUUCAUAAGAAAUAUUGAUCUAUACUUUUGUUGUAAUAUCUCUGCAUUGUUUUGGUAUCAGGGCACUGUUUCCCUUUUGGAAUAAGUUAAGAGUUAUUUCUGUUUCCAUUUUCAGGAAAAUAUUGUGGAGAAUUGGCUUUCCUGAGUUUCUCAUUUGUUUCAUUGAAGAUAUUUAUGCAUAACCAAUACAGUAAUUAAUGAGCAUUGUAGCAGAUGAUGGACUUAGAGUUUAUUACAUUCUGUUUAUUACAUUGCAGCCAAUAAACCACAUCCUUUGUAAUAAAAACUAUUAUAGUGCUGGCUUCUGA